AGCAGAUCUGACUCUUCUUACACUUGUAUUUUGUGGAAGGCUGAGGACUGUUUUCAUUUGUUUGGGUGUUUUUUGUUGAUGUUGUUGUCAUGCAUUUUUUUCCUGUAGCCUGGUACUUUAUCCACCGAACAGCAUUUCUCCUUUUCCAGUGGCUGGCCUCCCGUUGAUCUGCUCUGCUCAGUAACAGCAGAAACCCGUGUUGACCAUGGGCUGACUCAUUUCCAAAGCUUUCCUGUGACAAACGUAUUUGAUUCCUAAUAGGUGGGAGAUGGGAUUGCAUCUUUCAGGCAGAGAGAGAGGCCUGAGACGCAGAGGAUCAUCCUAAAAAGAGCUGUAGGAAAGACCAUUGAAGCUGAGUUGUAUCCUCUGUUGUUUUCGUGGCUGUUGGAUGAAGGACACGCGGAAGGAAAAGCGCGAGUGCCGCUCCACGAUGUGGGUAUCGCUUGCUGCGAUGAGGUCAGGCUCUGUACGUGGUCCCAGCUGCUCUGAAGAAUCCAAGAUAAUGCUGUUUGCUCACUCCUCGUACUGUAUUAGUUCAUAUAGACCUGCAGUUAAUAACUCUUUUCUCCCUUCUCCCUCUAGAGAGCCACUCUUUAGCCCAGGUCAGUGACAAAACACUGACAAAGCCAUAUUGGAGUGAGAUAAGCACCGCCGUCGGGAGCCCGGUAGAGACUCCGUUGUGCUGUUCAGCGUGGCUGCAGCAGCAAGGAGCCUCUGCUCCCAUCCGAUUGCGUUUUCAUCCUGUUUUCUCCUAGGGAGUCACAGCUUUGCUUUUGCCGAAGACAGGAGGUUUAAUAGUCGGCACCGGAGAAGGGACUGUAGCUCUCUGUACAGGCUCAGACUGCCAAGUAAAGAAGAGAAUGCGAGUUGAAGGUGCUGUCACUUCCCUGACGUGUAGAGGUCGGGACGACCAGUUCUUUCUAGGGACAAAUAAAGGCCAGAUGCACCGCAGUGCCUACGCUACAUUUAAAGAGGAGCUGGUCGCCGUCUGUCACACCGAAGCCGUCAACGACAUUGUUUUUCCUGAUGGAUCAUCUCUCCAGAUGGAAAAUGGGAUUUUGAUCCAAAUGAACAUUUUUGGCGUAUUUUUAUUGCUUCGCUUCUCGGCCCAGCACAAAGGAUCAGAUGUCACCGAGGUGCAGGGAGUGCAGGGUGCAGGAAGCGCUCCUCCCUGCCUGCCGCCAGCCUCAAACCCACAUCUUCUCAUUUAAUGAGAAAAUCAGGUGGAGCUUUAGGGUGAUGUGCUGCUGAUACCGCUGAUUGACACGCCUGUGUCACAGCCAUUAGUGCUGACUGUAAGGACUACAGGACUACAUCCUUGCGUAGAUGUUUGAACUUCUUAUCUGUUGCCUGCUCUUGAACAAAGCCUAUUGCUGAUGGGGAAAUACGGGCUUAAUUUCCCUGCUCUGGCUUAUUUCAGAAUCCUUCACUUGCUGAUGUUAUCCUGGUUGAUAAAGCACCCGUGCAAGCUGGGCUUGAAAGAGGCCACACUUGUGUUGUGCCGGUUUUCUCUGUCCUGGUUCACCUU